GAUGAACGCUGGCGGCGUGCCUAAUACAUGCAAGUCGAGCGAACGGACGAGAAGCUUGCUUCUCUGAUGUUAGCGGCGGACGGGUGAGUAACACGUGGAUAACCUACCUAUAAGACUGGGAUAACUUCGGGAAACCGUAGCUAAUACCGGAUAAUAUUUUGAACCGCAUGGUUCAAAAGUGAAAGACGGUCUUGCUGUCACUUAUAGAUGGAUCCGCGCUGCAUUAGCUAGUUGGUAAGGUAACGGCUUACCAAGGCAACGAUGCAUAGCCGACCUGAGAGCGUGAUCGGCCACACUGGAACUGAGACACGGUCCAGACUCCUACGGGAGGCAGCAGUAGGGAAUCUUCCGCAAUGGGCGAAAGCCUGACGGAGCAACGCCGCGUGAGUGAUGAAGGUCUUCGGAUCGUAAAACUCUGUUAUUAGGGAAGAACAUAUGUGUAAGUAACUGUGCACAUCUUGACGGUACCUAAUCAGAAAGCCACGGCUAACUACGUG
rnacentral:rRNA from 1 species